rnacentral:other from 1 species
GACACCCUGCAGUGUACGAGGUGCUUUCAUUAACAGCUCUUUGCCUUUGAAAUAAUCCGGGAGCCGCAAACGACGGCGGGAUGCCAGGCCGUAAACCGGAAGGCAAAAAACCGUCUGGUGGCACCCACCUUUCUACAAAAAGGUCACGAGCCUUUGAGCGCACGGCACAGGUGGGGUGUCA